ACUGUGCUGCAGUGUCAGUAUUGUAGCCAAUGAGGUUUAUCCAAGGCGUGAUUAUUGCUAAUUGAAAAAAACAAAAACAUAAAAAAAUCCAGUAUUAGGGCCAGAGACAUAGAACAGAGUUUAAGGCAUUUACCCUGUAU